rnacentral:rRNA from 1 species
GUCGAACGAAGCAUUUAAGACAGAUUUCUUCGGGAUGAAGUUUUUUAUCACUUAAAGGCGGACGGGUGAGUAACGCGUGGGUAACCUGCCUCACACAGGGGGAUAGCAGUUGGAAACGACUGGUAAUACCGCAUAAGCGCACAGCUUCGCAUGAAGCGGUGUGAAAAACUCCGGUGGUGUGAGAUGGACCCGCGUCUGAUUAGGUAGUUGGUGAGGUAACGGCCCACCAAGCCGACGAUCAGUAGCCGACCUGAGAGGGUGACCGGCCACAUUGGGACUGAGACACGGCCCAGACUCCUACGGGAGGCAGCAGUGGGGAAUAUUGCACAAUGGAGGAAACUCUGAUGCAGCGACGCCGCGUGAGUGAAGAAGUAUUUCGGUAUGUAAAGCUCUAUCAGCAGGGAAGACAGUGACGGUACCUGACUAAGAAGCUCCGGCUAAAUACGUGCCAGCAGCCGCGGUAAUACGUAUGGAGCAAGCGUUAUCCGGAUUUACUGGGUGUAAAGGGAGUGUAGGUGGCAUCACAAGUCAGAAGUGAAAGCCCGGGGCUCAACCCCGGGACUGCUUUUGAAACUGUGGAACUGGAGUGCAGGAGAGGUAAGUGGAAUUCCUAGUGUAGCGGUGAAAUGCGUAGAUAUUAGGAGGAACACCAGUGGCGAAGGCGGCUUACUGGACUGUAACUGACACUGAGGCUCGAAAGCGUGGGGAGCAAACAGGA